UACGGGGGGGGCAAGCGUUGUUCGGAAUUACUGGGCGUAAAGGGCUCGUAGGCGGCCAACUAAGUCAGACGUGAAAUCCCUCGGCUUAACCGGGGAACUGCGUCUGAUACUGGAUGGCUUGAAUCCGGGAGAGGGAUGCGGAAUUCCAGGUGUAGCGGUGAAAUGCGCAGAUAUCAGGAGGAACACCAAUGGCGAAGGCAGCUCGCUGGGACGGUACUGACGCUGAGACGCGAAAGCGUGGGGAGCAAACAGG
rnacentral:rRNA from 1 species